rnacentral:rRNA from 1 species
AUUGAACGCUGGCGGCAGGCUUAACACAUGCAAGUCGAACGGUAACAGAAAGUAGCUUGCUACUUUGCUGACGAGUGGCGGACGGGUGAGUAAUGCUUGGGAAUAUGCCUUAUGGUGGGGGACAACAGUUGGAAACGACUGCUAAUACCGCAUAACAUCUCCGGAUCAAAGUGGGGGACCUUCGGCCGUCACGCCAUAAGAGUAGCCCAACGUGGGAGUUAGCUAGUUGGUAAGGUAAUGGCGUUACCAAGGCGACGAUCCCUACGUUGGUCUUAGAGGAUGACCAGCCACACUGGAACUGAGACACGGUCCAGACUCCUACGGGAGGCAGCAGUGGGGAAGUAUUGCACAAUGGGC